rnacentral:rRNA from 1 species
GGGGGGGGGGGGCGGGGGGGGGGGGGGGGGGGGGGCGGGGGGGGGGGGCGGGGUGCGUGCACUCGGGGGGGUUGGGGGCGGGCGGGUGAGUCACGCGUGGGCGACCUGCCCCUAGGACCGGGGGACCAUGCGGCGACGCAUGCCAAUCCCGGCUAGACGGCCCUCGCGCAUGCGGGGAUCGGGCAAGGCGCAGCACUCUGCCGCCUCUGGCUGGGCCUGCGGCGCAUGAGCUGGUUGGUGGGGUACCGGCCUACCAAGGCGACGAUGCGUAGCCGACCUGAGAGCGUGAUCGGCCACACGGGGGCUGAGACACGGCCCAGACUCCUACGGGAGGCAGCAGUAGGGAAUCUUCCGCAAUGGACGCAAGUCUGACGGAGCAACGCCGCGUGAGUGAGGAAGGCCUUCGGGUCGUAAAGCUCUGUUGCCAGGGAAGAACGGGUAGGGGAGUAACUGCCCUUGCCAUGACGGUACCGGAGAAGAAAGCCCCGGCUAACUACGU